UUAGCCAAGCAAGGGAAGUUUACAACCUAAGCCCCUCAGCCCUCGUUUUUAGUCAGCUUUGCGAGUGUACAAUUACGUUCACUCCGGGGCCUGAAACUCCCCAUAACUCAAUUUGCGACAAUUCGUGCGCUAAGUCUGCGAAAACUUAAACAUCAAUGGAGAAGUCAACAUACAAGUGUGCUGGAGUACAAAGCCAAAACAACAAGAAGUGUCACUGUCCCAGUACUUUUGGAGCUCACUGUAUUCUGUUAUCAGAUUCAAAAUCUGGCAGUUGCUCAAUGCAGCAUGACCAAGUAACCAACAGUGGUGACACUGACUCGAUUAAAGUGUUUGUGCGGGUGAGACCUCUGAUCCAUGGGACCAGCCUAACCACUGAUGGAUACCAAGGUCUCUGUCACCUCUCCGAACACCAUCUGCCUGCACAUCAAUAUAACCAUGUUGCUGACAUCGACGUCACUCAGGAUUCUGUAUUCUCCUGUGUGGCCAAGAAUAUCGUUGUGUCAUGUAUGAAUGGAUACAAUGGCACCGUUUUUGCCUAAACUCUCUCGGAGGUAAUGUUAAGUCCUAGAUUAUAGCCAAUGUGCACCCAAGUGCUUUGGGGAAACUGUAUCCACCUUUCAAAUCGCCCAGAGAACCAAGUUGAUCAAAAACGAGGCCCUGAUCAACGAAGACAUGCAUGGGAACAUGAGGCAGCUACAGGCUGAGGCGGGAGUGGGAGCAGCCCCUGGAGCAGCAGUGGUCCCUGCAGGAUGCCUUUGACCAGAUCCAGGCCGAGGCCAAGUUUGAGGCAGACCAGUCCAGGCAGCAGCUAGAGGACAACCAGCAGGACAUCAUAGCUCAGCAGGCCCAAAUCACUGUCAGUCAGCUCCUUUUUAAACCAACCAAGCCCGCUUCUCUGUUAAGGACAUUCAGAGCCUACCUGUCUCAUUUGUAUGAAAUUACAGUUUAACCUCUAUGGAGGAUUGAGUGUGAUUCGUUUUUUAUUGAUGAAUAUGUUGGUUGAAUUGUAGGGAUUGACAAAAGCUCUUCAGUCUGAAAGAACACACAAACCAAUAUGACCUCCCAGUUGAGAGAGGCUAGAGAGAGCACUUUAGAGUGAGUUGUAUAAAGGCGUAUUUUCUGUUUGUGCAUGAUGAGACCUUUUUGAAGUGUAUUUUAAAUGUUUUGUUGACAUGUUUGAUUUGUUUCUCCCCAGAGAGCUUGUUCAGAAUAUGGAGCAGAAUGUAGUGCUAAAGAAGCAAGUGUCUGACUGGACAACACAAAACCAAAAAACAGACCUGUCCUUCAUUCAUUGUUAUUGUGUACAUGGUGGUUAAUGUAGUGUUUUAUUUAUAUUUCUUAGAAAUUGUUAUCACUAGUAUUGUUUUUAGUUUUGUCAAAUACAGUUAAACUAUUUGACAUAAUUGGAUCUUAAUCUCCAAUCAACUGUAAUUGGCCCGGUCUUCGUUUGUAUAUUUACUUUGAAAGACUUCUAAUAUGGCAAGCCUUGAACCAAAUCUGACAACUGCCAAUGGGACCAUAUCCAGCCUUGAAAAAAAGAUUGAACAAGAAAAAGUAAGUCUGCUCACUUAAAUUACCUGCCAUUAAUUACUAUUAUUUGGGGAUAUAAUUCAGUUUGCAUGUAUUUGAUACAUCUAAUCUCAGAAGUCUCUUGUUUUGUGUUGUUUGUCCUGGAGCUGAUCAACCAGGCCAGGGACCUCUGCAGUAAGCUGGGCCAGAAGGAUCAGGGCCUUGCUAUGCUGUUUGCAGGUGUCAAGGACCUUACGGAUAUGUACAAUGCUCCUUGCGCCGAGAGAGAGGAGCUCAAGGAACACAACUCCAGGAUGCAAGCAGAGCUCCAGGACCUGAGAGAAGCAGCAGAAAGGAAGGUAGCUUCUAAUCAGAGAGGUGGAGGUGUUACAGGAGGAGUUGGUCUAUGCCACUGAGGAGGUGGAGCGACUCACCAAGGUGUUAGAUGAGCAGGCAGGUCUUCUCCAAGCUUCACAGGAUCAGACUGCCCAGAAGGUGGCUACCACUCUCCAGGGGAAGUUAAAACAACAGCAAGAGGCGGUUCAGAGGACUGUCAGAGGGAACUCUGUCUGAUCAAGAGAGGGUUUAAUCGCUUAUCUGGUUGAUUUUAUCUGUCGGACACCUCACACCCCCUGAAGCUUCAACCCUGACCUGACUCUGGUGGUGGAGAGCCAGGAGAAGGAGCUGGAGAGCCGACGCUCCUCCAUGAUGACUAUGGAGGUGCCCCUCACUGAGUUUAACUAUGAAAGUGUCACGAAUCCCACCGAAGGUGGCUACCCUGCCUGCUCGAGCGGCGCUCGACGGUCGUCGUCGCCGGCCUACUAGCCACCGCUGAUCCCUUUUUCCUUUUCUGUUUGUUUAGUCUUAUUGGUUGCACCUUUUCCCUAUUGUGUUCUUGAUUUGUGUUUAUUUAAGCCUGCUUAGCCCGCCCAGGUUUGUGCGGGAUUACGUUUACUGUUGUGUGUAUUUUUGGAUGUGCUGGCUUACGCCUUGUAUUCUCUCUCCGGACUGUUUUGCCCGUUGUACUGGGUUGGUAAUUUGUUUUACGCGCCCGUUGGUUUUGGUGUUGACCGUUUUGUGCCGGGAAGAAUAAAGGUCGUUAUACUUCACCUCUGCUCUCUGCGCCUGACUCUACCACCACUCCUAGUAUCCCGUGACAGAAAGGGCCGCCAAGAACGAGGAGAUCCAGAAGCUCAAGGGUCAGCUGAAUGAGAAGGAAAUGGUGCGAAUGGAGAUUCAAGCUGUUCUUAACGAGUUCUACGCCAAGCAGAACCAACUGGCUCAGAAUGGGAACACAAAUGGGGAUGUUUUAAAUGAGGCCAUUCAUCAGAACGUCUUGAGAGAGCUGCAGGAGGAGAGGAGUGCAAUGAGAAUAGUCAUACUGAGGCUCAGGAAAGACUGACGAGUCAGAAAUCCCUGUUGGCCCAGUCUCAGACCAGUGUCCAGGAGCUGAGGAACCACUGCCUAGAGGUGAGCCGGAAGGAGCGAGACCAGGAGUGACUGCUUCAGCUAAUGUAUGGUGAUUUUAGUGAGAUGUCUGAAUGUCGGCAAACCUGCCCCCUACCGGUCUGAGGAUAACUGCAAGCUUGUGGACCAUAAGAACCAUAAGCAGAGGAUUGAGUACCUGGACAAGCUCAAAGAAGAACACCAAACCUCAAGUUGUAAUAAUCAUAUUUAACAUUUCAUCACCUGGCUGCAUGUUUACUUUUUGUAACUGUUAUAGUUACCAUCAAGAGACUUGGCCUCAGCAGUGAAAUACUGAGGGGGCAUUUCACUGCAUUUAUAGACAAUAAGUAACAAACACAAUUUUUCAAGGGAAAUAAAAACCUCAGAUCUGAAAUGAGUAUCUGAGAAAAUGCUUGGAGAGAUUCUCAUUGGCUGCUCAACAUUUCUUGUUGACUGUGAACAUGUCCCCCAAACAGAAAGCCUUUUCACCCUUUUUUAAGUUGACUAAUAACCGUGUUAUUGCAUCACAUAAUAGGAUAAACUGGUCAGUACAGUACAUUACCUGUUUGAAGUACUGUAAUUCUCUAAGAAAAAUGUCUUCAUGUUUUUUCAUAUUUCUGUAUGAAUAUAUUUCUACUAGGGCUGGGCAAUUCAUUGUUUAUAUUGUGAUAUGUAUAAUUGCGGUAUUCAUAUCAUUGGAUCUUAGUAUUUCACUACCUCUCUGCAGCAACUGUAGCCUCAUUUACAUUUAAGUCAUUUAGCAGACGCUCUUAUCCAGAGCGACUUACAGUAGUGAAUACCUACAUUUCAUGCAUUUUUUUUUGUACUGGCCCCCCGUGGGAAUCGAACCCACAACCCUGGCGUUGCACACACCAUGCUCUACCAACUGAGCCACAGGGAAGCCGCAGGGAAGCAACAGGGAAGGCCUCCCUGGGUCACAUUCAAAGGGAGGCUGUGCCACAGGCUCAGCUGCAUCGUCAUAUCAGAUGUUCAUUUCAGCAAUAAGGCCCAAGGUGGUGUGGUAUAUGGCCAAUAUACCACGGCUAAACCCCUGAGGUGCCUUAUUGCUAUUAUAAAUUGGUUGCCAACAUAAUUGAGUGAAAAUAGAUGUUUUGUCAUACCUGUGGUUUAUGGUCUGAUAUACCUCAGCCAAUCAGCAUUCAGGGCUCGAACCACCCAGUUAAUAAUUAUGGUUAUAUCAUCAUCCUUCAUAUUGUAUUAUAUGAAUUUUGGUGGUCCAUAUAUCGCCCAGCCCUAGUAUUUACCACAGGGGCUUUCAAUCACAGAUACCAUAUUUAGGGUAGAUUGUGACAUGAUUGAACAACUGUUAUGCUGGAUGAAAUAUAUUUUAGAACUGUAAAUUGACUGUGUAUAUGUAACAGUGUAGGUUCCGUCCCUCUCUUCGCCCCAACCCGGGCUCGAACAUCAUCAACUGACACCCCACGAAGCAUCGUUACCCAUCGCGCCACAAAAGCCGCGGCCCUUGCAACGCAAAGGGAAACCCUACUUCAAGUCUCAGAGCGAGUGACGUCACCGAUUGAAACGCUAUUAGCGCGCACCACCGCUAACUAACUAGCCAUUUCACAUCGGUUACAUAUACAUUUAAUCAGAUCAUCAUUCAUAAAGGCAAAUUCUGGAUGUUUUCCUAAUUGAUUCUGCCCUAGCAACAUAUCUAUUUUGUUUUUGCUAACAUCUGUAUCUUGUCUAUUUGUAUAGUUGUGUGACCAAUAAAAUGUGAUUUUAGUUUUAAUGUUAA